UACGUAGGGACCAAGCGUUGUCCGGAAUCAUUGGGCGUAAAGCGCGCGUAGGCGGCCCGGUAAGUCCGUUGUAAAAGUCGAAGGCUCAACCUUCGAAAGCCGAUGGAUACUGCCGGGCUAGAGUCCGGGAGAGGAGAGUGGAAUUCCUGGUGUAGCGGUGAAAUGCGCAGAUAUCAGGAAGAACACCCGUGGCGAAAGCGGCUCUCUGGAACGGUACUGACGCUGAGACGCGAAAGCGUGGGGAGCGAACAGG
rnacentral:rRNA from 1 species